UUUCCCCUUUCUUCUUUUUAUACCCUUUCCUAAAAUUUUCUUUCUUAUCCCUUAAAUAACCCGAACAAGAUCCAUGGCAAAGCUUGCAAAAAAGUUCAAUCGACAACUAAUUCGACAAUCAUAACCAAGUCUUUAUUCCUUAGUCCUUUGAGGAAACUUCUUCUCAAUCCUUGCAAUCGACUGUCCAUAAAAAGCUCUUAGCCGCUAGCCCUAACUUAUCCUUUAAGAAAAUUUGUCUCACCCCUCUUGACUCUCUUCCAUUAAAGGACAUGCAUAAGUUCUAAAUUGUAUUGCUGCAAGAGAAUUUUUUCCCCUUCAAAAAUCUCUUAGUGGUGUCCGAAAGAAUUGUGAAUCUCCCGCAGUUAAAAGAGCUUCACUGCAAUCUUUGUCUUGAUUCAAUCUCUGAUUUCUUCUCUCAGGAAAGUAUAUGAUGGAUAAGAAUUGGAUACUUCUUAAGAAUAAGACGUUACCAGAAUACUUGAAUGGUGUGAAACAGUUUUUGGACUUUGCUUUUUCCAAUCCUGAAGUUGGUGCAAUAAUUCAAUGUUCAUGCAUUAAAUGUAACAAUGUACUGAAGAAAAUACCGGAAGAAGUGAAUAAUGAUUUACUUAAUUGGGGAAUAAGUCCGACCUAUAAAAAGUGAGAUUGUCAUGGCGAUUUAGACUCAUCAUCAGAUGACGAAAUAAAUUUUGUUGCAGACUCGGAAUUAGAAAAUGAUGAUGCUUCUACUUUUGAGAUGUUGCAUGAUAUGUAUCAUGGUGUUUCUACUAAUAAUAAAAAAUUUGAUGAUACCACUGAGUCUAGAUUUGAAGAGCCUAAUUUCAAAGAUAAGGGUUUUUAUAGGUUAUUAAAGGAUGCAGAACAAAAGUUAUAUCCAGGUUGUGAAAAGUUCUCAAAAUUCUCUUUUGUAACGCGCCUUUUUCAAUUGAAGUGUCUCCAUGGUUGAAACAAUACUUCAUUUAACUCUUUAUUGAACUUAU